CCGCCAUUAGCUCAACUGGAUAGAGCAUAGAGCUUCUACCCUAAGCGUUCAGUUCAAUUCCUGAUGGCGGACCA
rnacentral:tRNA from 1 species